rnacentral:lncRNA from 1 species
CCCGUGCAGUCUGUGAGGCUGAGGAGCCUUGCCUUUAGGCAGAAUGAAAAAGCAUCAGAGAGAAGGAGAGACAGCGGUCUCAGAUACAGAGGCCACCGUGAAUCACAUCACCCAGCCCUGCAGUUGCCUUGCACCGCCUGCAUUAGCGGCACCAGUGAUGCGUGUCUGUCAUCUCCCCUGCCACGGUUUGCAUGCCUAGCCCAGCACCGGGA